UACGUAGGGGGCAAGCGUUGUCCGGAAUCAUUGGGCGUAAAGAGCGUGUAGGCGGCCCGGUAAGUCCGUUGUGAAAGUCCAGGGCUCAACCCUGGAAUGCCGAUGGAUACUGCCGGGCUAGAGUUCGGAAGAGGCGAGUGGAAUUCCUGGUGUAGCGGUGAAAUGCGCAGAUAUCAGGAAGAACACCCGUGGCUAAGGCGGCUCUCUAGUACGGUACUGACGCUGAGACGCGAAAGCGUGGGGAGCGAACAGG
rnacentral:rRNA from 1 species